AUACGGAGGACGCGAGCGUUAUCCGGAUUCAUUGGGUUUAAAGGGUGCGCAGGCGGCCGUGCAAGUCAGCGGUGAAAGCCCGGGGCUCAACCCCGGAAGUGCCGUUGAUACUGCGUGGCUGGAAUGCGGUCGAGGCGGGCGGAACGUGGGGUGUAGCGGUGAAAUGCGUAGAUAUGCCACAGAACGCCGAUAGCGGAGGCAGCUCGCCAGGCCUGCAUUGACGCUCGGGCACGAAAGCGUGGGGAUCGAACAGGAUUAGAUACCCUGGUAGUCCACGCCGUAAACGAUGGGCGCUCGUCGUCGGCGACAGACAGUCGGCGGCCAAGCGAAAGCGAUAAGCGCCCCACCUGGGGAGUACGGUCGCAAGGCUGAAACUCAAAUGAAUUGACGGGG
rnacentral:rRNA from 1 species